AGGUUGGAAUGAAAUACAGAAACUUAAUCCUGAAGCCUGGGGGGUCCCUGGACGGCAUGGACAUGCUCCAGAAUUUCUUGCAACGUGAGCCAAACCAAAAAGCAUUCCUAAUGAGUCGAGGCCUGAAUGGUUCGUAAGCCAGGGAUCCUGGGAGUUGUCCAUGUCUGGAGGACAAGUCAACACUGUCAUGUGGUGCCGGCCUGGAGACUGAAGAGAGUUUUACAAAAGAAAACUUAGAUUUCUAUUGAUUUGCUUUUGUUUUUUAAUUUUAAAAAUUAUACAGAUGUAAAUGGAAUUAUAAAUACUGUGACCUAAGGAAAGACCAACUAAAAAUAAUUGUACUAUAAAGUUUCAUAAAAAUGGAUUUGAUUUCUUUUGAUAAAAGUUUCAUAUGAAUGUAAUUUGAUUUUUUUUACAGUUAUAAUCCAGAUAAUAUAAUGUAAGAGGGCUAAGACAUUUUAAAUUGAAUCACAUACAUGAUAUAAUUUGAUCCUUCUUAUAUCUUGAAGUUUUAUACUUGCGAUCUCUGGACUGAUAAAUGAAUCACCACAUUCUCUCUGGUAAAUAUUUCCUCCGAGCCCUGUGUCAACCUUGACCCUCUGCCUCAGAGCUAGGCGACAGUCUGCCUGCGUGUGUCAAGGCCAGCACAACAUGUUUCAGUAGUGUUUGUCUUUUGUAGUGAGCUUCAUGAUUCUUAGUUUCCUAUCACAAUUAUAUUCCUCCUCUUGGAUAAUUUUUUUAAAUUUUAUUUUAACUAGUUAUAUGUGUGUGUGUGUGUGUGUGUGUGUUUUGUGUCUUACACUAGAAGCUCAAAUGUCAACUCUUCUGUUGCAGUCACAGUGAGAAAAGCAGGUAAAGUGAGAGGAAUUCAGGUAUCCUUUGGGUUCCCAUUCCUUUUAGUACUCGCUGUGUAUUUUGCUUAUAUUUUUUAUUUUGUUUGUUUGAGGUACCAUCUCACCAUGGAGCCAGAUUGGCCCAGAACUCGAGGUAAUUCCCCUGCUUCAGCUUCCCAAGCCUUAAGACCCAGGCGUGAGCCACUACACUCAGCUCAGUUCUCUUGUUUCUAAUCGGGAUUCUGACCUUGCCUCCCAGAAAGUGACAGUGGACCCUGUAGUCACAGUGUGUUGAAGUGCCAGGGGCAGAACUAAGUUUUUUUUUUUUUUGGUUCUUUUUAUCAGAGCUGGGGACUGAACCCAGGGCCUUGCGCUUCGUAGGCAAGCGCUCUACCACUGAGCUAAAUCCCCAACCCCCAGAACUAAGCUUUUAACACUCCAGAAGAGAGUGGGUUGGAGUGGAGCGUUGGAGAGCGGCUGCUCCCAGUGUUCUGUGGGCAGCUGAGCUGUGGGGAAGGCUCCUCAGCAGCCUGCUUCGUAUGGAGACUGUUAAGUGAGCCUCCAGAUCUCUAACUCCUUUUAUUAGGUCUAAGUUUCCAGAGCAGCAACAGGGCAGUGAGCUCACAGCACUAGUGUAGCUCUGGGAGUCUACUCACAAAGGAAACCGGGUGGGAUUCUGGAGAAAAUGUCGGUGAACUGUGACCGCACUUUCCACUGACCUUUGAGCUGUUUCACAUACCUGAAGAAUGACUUUGCUGGCAGGCAGCGAAAUUAGAGCCUGUCUGUUUGUUAGACCAAGUGGACUUUGUGUUAAAUAAAAUAUUAUGUCAUGUAAUAAAGUUAUACAGAGUACCAAGAGCUGUGCACAGCAGGGAAGCCCUUUGUUCGUGUAGUUUGAUUUGAUUUUUGCAGUGCUGGGCAUUCAAACCUCCAGCUUCUUCACCCAUGCCGGCAAGUGCUGUGCUCGCCCCAGCUGUUUUUAUGGUGGUGGUAGAAACCUCUGGAAGAUUCUAGAUUCUCACAUCUGUCCCCACCCCCAUUUUUUCUACUUUCAGACAAAAAAAAACAACUCUCUUCAGCUUUCUCUAGUAUUGCCCAGAAUGUCUCUUUCAAAAUGACUUCUGUCAUAAAUCUGACUUUCCUUGGGAAAGCUAAUAGCCAGUGUGUGAAAGACUGCACACAAUAAAGUUGCAUCAUUGUCCACGAGAA
rnacentral:lncRNA from 1 species